GGAAGGAUCAUUCAUAAUCAAGUGUUUUUAUGGCACUUUCAAAAAUCCAUAUCCACCUUGUGUGCAAUGUCAUCUCACUGGAGGUCACGGCUGUAACAAUCCGGCGGCCACCUUUGGGAUUUAUAUCUACUCAGAACUUUAGUGAUUUUGUCUGAAACAUAUUAUGAAUAACUUAAUUCAAAAUACAACUUUCAACAACGGAUCUCUUGGCUCUCGCAUCGAUGAAGAACGCAGCGAAAUGCGAUACGUAAUGUGAAUUGCAGAAUUCAGUGAAUCAUCGAAUCUUUGAACGCAUAUUGCGCUCUCUGGUAUUCCGGAGAGCAUGCUUGUUUGAGUAUCAGUAAACACCUCAACUCCCUUUUCUUCUUGAAAUGGGAGCUGGACUUGAGUGAUCCCAACGCUUUCUCUCCAAGAAAGUGGCGGGUUACUUGAAAUGCAGGUGCAGCUGGACUUUUCUCUGAGCUAUAAGCAUAUCUAUUUAGUCUGCCUCAAAAACAGAUUAUUACCUUUGCUGCAGCUAACAUAAAGGAGACUAGUUCUUGUGCUGACUGAUGCAGGAUUCACAGAGACAGCUUCGGCUGACUUUGUAAACUCGAUCUCAAAUCAAGUAAGACUACCCGCUGAACUUAAGCAUAUCAAUAAGCGGAGGAAAAGAAACUAACAAGGAUUCCCCUAGUAACGGCGAGUGAAGCGGGAUGAGCUCAAAUUUAAAAUCUGGCUGGUUUACUAGUCCGAAUUGUAGUUUAAAGAAGCGUUUUCGGUGGCAGCCUGGGUAUAAAUCCUUUGGAACAGGGUAUCAUAGAGGGUGAGAAUCCCGUCUUUGACUCAGUGCAUGCUACUAUGUGAUACGUUUUCAAAGAGUCGAGUUGUUUGGGAAUGCAGCUCAAAAUGGGUGGUAAAUUUCAUCUAAGGCUAAAUAUUGGCGAGAGACCGAUAGCGAACAAGUACCGUGAGGGAAAGAUGAAAAGAACUUUGAAAAGAGAGUUAAACAGUGCGUGAAAUUGUUGAAAGGGAAACGCUUGACACCAGUCAUGCGAGCGGAAAAUCAGUCUUUUGCAGUGGGGAGUUGUGUGGGUUCGGACCGCAAGGCCGGCCUGCGCUGCAUCUCUGCUGUAAGUGAUGCACUUUUUCGUUUGCAGGCCAACAUCAGUUUCUUCUGCUGGACAAAACUCUUGAGAAGGUAGCAGCUUUGGCUGUGUUAUAGCUCUUGAGCGAUACAGUGGAGGGGACUGAGGUUUUCGCAGCGCGUGCUUUCGGGCAAGGCUGAUUGGGUGCUAUGGGAUCGUUCGGUGUACAAUGCAUGCAUUUUGCGCCGUGUCUUUUCUGUACUCGCUCAACUCGGCUCUUCCGCGCUUAGGAUGUUGGCUUAAUGGUUUUAAUCGACCCGUCUUGAAACACGGACCAAGGAGUCUAACAUAUAUGCAAGUGUUUGGGUGGCAAACCCAUGCGCGUAAUGAAAGUGAACGUAGGUGCCAUCCGCAAGGUGCAGCAUCGACCGAUCUUGAUAUUUUUGGAUAGAUUUGAGUAAGAGCAUAUAUGCUGGGACCCGAAAGAUGGUGAACUAUGCCUGAAUAGGGUGAAGCCAGAGGAAACUCUGGUGGAGGCUCGUAGCGAUUCUGACGUGCAAAUCGAUCGUCAAAUUUGGGUAUAGGGGCGAAAGACUAAUCGAACCAUCUAGUAGCUGGUUCCUGC
rnacentral:misc_RNA from 1 species